rnacentral:rRNA from 1 species
UACGUAGGGUGCAAGCGUUGUCCGGAAUUAUUGGGCGUAAAGAGCUCGUAGGCGGUUUGUCACGUCGGCCGUGAAAACUGGAGGCUUAACCUUCAGCUUGCGGUCGAUACGGGCUGACUUGAGUAUGGCAGGGGAGACUGGAAUUCCUGGUGUAGCGGUGAAAUGCGCAGAUAUCAGGAAGAACACCGGUGGCGAAGGCGGGUCUCGUGGGCCAUUACUGACGCUGGAGGAGCG